GCAGCGAUAGCUCAGCGGCAGAGCGCAGGAUUGCAGUGACCACAACACAGCAGUUAUCCCGAGGUCCCCGGUUCAAUCCCGGGUCGUUGCU